rnacentral:rRNA from 1 species
UAAGCGGAGGAAAAGAAACUAACAAGGAUUCCCCUAGUAACUGCGAGUGAAGCGGGAAAAGCUCAAAUUUAAAAUCUGGCGGCCUUUGGCCCCCCGAGUUGUAAUUUAGAGAAGCGUCUUCCGCGCCGGACCGUGCACAAGUCUCCUGGAAUGGAGCGUCAUAGAGGGUGAGAAUCCCGUCUUUGGCACGGAUGCCUGGUGCUUCUGUGAUGCGCUCUCGAAGAGUCGAGUUGUUUGGGAAUGCAGCUCAAAAUGGGUGGUGAACUCCAUCUAAAGCUAAAUAUUGGCGAGAGACCGAUAGCGAACAAGUACCGUGAGGGAAAGAUGAAAAGCACUUUGGAAAGAGAGUGAAACAGUACGUGAAAUUGUUGAAAGGGAAACGCUUGAAGUCAGUCGCGUCGACCGAGACUCAGCCUUGCCUUGGCUUGGUGUACUUCUCGGCCCGACGGGUCAGCGUCAAUUUUGCUCCUCGGAUAAUGGCAAGGGAAAGGUGGCACCUUCACGGGUGUGUUAUAGUCUCCUGUCGCAUGCGAGGGGUGGGAUUGAGGAACUCAGCGCGCACCUCAGGUGUCGGGGCUUCUGCCCACGUCACGCGCUUAGGAUGCUGGCGUAAUGGCUUUAAACGACC